rfam:Perkinsus marinus ATCC 50983 gcontig_1104296771222, whole genome shotgun sequence.
GAGUGUUUGCCCGAGUGGUUAAGGGGUGGACUUAAGAUCCACUGGACUCGGUCCGCGUGGGUUCGAACUCCACAGCACUCA